GCAUAUCAUUAGAGGGAGGAAAAGAAAACAACUGUGAUUCCGGCAGUAGCGGCGAGCGAAGUUGGAGUAGCCCCAAUGGUAAUGGCGAAGCCAGUUGUAAGGGGAAGCGGGAAAUGCUCUGAAACGAGUAUCCAUAGAGGGUAAUAGACCUUAUUGCACUCCCGUCAUGACGAGUAGCACUGUUUGGUAGUGCAGUGUGAAAGGGUGGUUGUAAGCACCUAAGGCUAAAUACGACCAAUGACCGAUAGCGAAUAAGUACUGUAAAGGAAGCUAUCUGCUGUAGUGGCAGAGAGUGAAAUCGAGCAUGCGGAAGGCAACAUGUUGCACCCGUCUUGAAACACGGACC
rnacentral:rRNA from 1 species